ACGGCGAGUAAUUUUGCCAAAGUACCACCUGGUGAGGUCGAGAGAGAAAACAUGGGACACACGGGAGCAGAUGCAAGGCGUACUAAUGCCUACAGUGCAACAGCUGCUUACCUGGACUCUAGACUCAGUCUGAGAUGACUGGAGGAGGCAAAAGUGAGAAAUGGAGUCGUUACAGAGGAUGCAUGAAAGGAAGAAAAAAAAGGGGUUUACUCUUCUGCCUGGAUGGAGUCGGAUGGAGCCACGUAAUUGCUGGGGAUAUAACCGCUCUCUCCAGUGGUCAGGGAGCGCGCCAGCCACCAGUCCCCCUCUCUGCACAGAUGAAACCAUGACACACACACACACACACAACACACAGCUUCACCAGGGCUCGU